GAAGGCAUAGCUCAAGUGGCAGAGUGUGUGCUUAGCACGCACCAGGUCCUGGGUUCAAUCCCCAGUCCCUCCA
rnacentral:tRNA from 1 species